rnacentral:lncRNA from 1 species
ACAAAGUCUUGUCUUCUGCAGCCUUGACUCUGAGACCUCGCGCCACUGUCACAUCCCGAUAAACAUAAACACCGCCUCGUUCUUCACCUGCUCCAAUCAGGGUCCUCGUAAAACGGUCCUGCAAAAUACACAAAGUGUCAGUAAACACAGCCAGACAUCCUGUCUGUUUGAGCAACUUAGCAACCGAGAACAAUGUACAGUUCAAGUUUGGGACAAAUAACACAUUCUCCAACACAAUUUUAUCAGACAAUCUUAACAUCCCACACUGAGUAGCCUGCACCUGGCUCCCAUCAGCAAAACUU